GGCAAUAUGGCCGAGUGGUCUAAGGCGCCAGAAUCAGGAGAGUCAGACUCAGGUUUGCUCAAUCUGGUCCGAAAGGGCGAGGGUUCGAAUCCCUCUGUUGUCA